ACGGAAGAUCCGAGCGUUAUCCGGAUUUAUUGGGUUUAAAGGGUGCGUAGGCGGACGUUCAAGUCAGUUGUGAAAUCCUGUGGCUUAACCAUAGAAUUGCAGUUGAAACUGAAUUUCUUGAGUUUAGAUAAGGAUGGCGGAAUUUGUAGUGUAGCGGUGAAAUGCUUAGAUAUCACACAGAACACCAAUUGCGGAGGCAGCCAACCGAGCCGACACUGACGCUGAGGCUCGAAAGUGUGGGAAUCGAACAG
rnacentral:rRNA from 1 species